UGCCCCCGGCCCGGCCCCGCCCCGAGCGGCGGCGGCUCCGUGACCCCGGUGCCGUCCGGUGCGGCGGUGCCGGCAUGGCCGUGCCCUGGGCUCUGCCCGCGCCCCUCAGCCCGGCGCAGCUGAAGCGCCUGGAGCAGCACCGCUACAGCGCGGCCGGGCGCUCGCUGCUGGAGCCGUGGCUGCAGCCGUACUGGGGCUGGCUGGUGGAGCAGGUCCCGCUGGGGCUGGCGCCCAACGCCAUCACCAUGGGCGGCCUCCUGCUGAAUUGCCUGACGGCGCUGCCGCUCAUCGCCUGCUGCCCCAGCGCCGCCGAGCAGGCACCUUCUUGGGCAUACAUCCUGGGUGCAUUAGGACUUUUUAUCUACCAGUCUCUGGAUGCCAUUGAUGGGAAGCAAGCCAGAAGAACAAACACUAGUUCUCCUCUAGGAGAACUCUUUGAUCAUGGUUGCGACUCUAUUUCCACAGUUUUUGUUGUCCUUGGAUCCUGCAUAGCAAUCCGACUAGGAACAAAUCCUGACUGGUUGUUUUUCUGUUGUUUUGUGGGACUGUUCAUGUUCUAUUCUGCUCACUGGCAGACAUAUGUAUCAGGCAUACUAAGGUUUGGAAAAAUUGAUGUAACUGAAGUUCAGAUAGCCAUAACAAUGCUGCUCUUGAUAUCUGCAUAUGCAGGAACAGCAAUAUGGGACUAUAAGGUCCCUUUGGUGGGCUUAGAACUGAAGUUCUUUGCAGUUAUUGGCAUCCUGUGUGGAACAGCACUUUCUUUUUUCAAUUACUUCCGUGUCAUCUUUGGUGGAGGGGUUGGAAAGAAUGGAUCCACAAUAGCAGGAACAAGUGUUCUUUCGCCAGGCCUGCACAUUGGACUACUUAUCACACUGGCCAUUAUGAUUUAUAAAAAGUCUACAACUCAGCUGUUUGAAAAGCAUGCUUGCCUGUAUGUCUUAACAUUUGGGUUUGUGAAUGCCAAAAUCUCACAGAAGUUAGUGGUGGCUCACAUGACAAAAAGUGAAAUCUCUCUUCAGGACUCUGCGUUUAUUGGGCCAGGACUUCUGUUUCUGGACCAGUACUUCAACAGUUUCAUUGAUGAAUAUAUUGUUCUAUGGAUAGCAUUGUUCAUAUCCUUGUUUGAUAUGCUGAGAUAUGCCACUGGUGUGUGCCUACAGAUUGCUGCUCAUCUUCAUAUACAUGUCUUCAGAAUUUCAUCUCAUCAAGCUCCUGAACAGGUUCAAAACCAUAAUGACUGAUUAAAUAGGUCAAGGACAAGAGAAGAAGCAUUUAGGGGAAUGUUGAAUGAAGCAGCCCCUCUGUUUUUGGGAAGACAGAUUAAGCUUUUGAAGAAAACAGUUUUAUGAGAAAGUUCACCGUAUCCCAGACAUUACCAGAUAUUAGAAUUAGUAGAUAACAAAGUUCUGCAGAUGCUAUUGUGAUCAAUACUUUUGAACCAGGAUGUAUUUCAGACCAUCAAUACCACAUUUGAAAAUGUUGCCCUUUCCUGUUAGGUACAACUUGUUUCUCCAUUGAGCCAUCAGAAUAACAUGGACUGAAGAGACUUGCGAACAGUUGCCAUCUCCUGCUGUUGCUGUGACGAGAAAAGGAGAUAAUACUGAACAAAUGCCAUAUCAAUAUGAGUCCUUUGAAUUAAAUGAAUGUCAAAUGACUUUUAAUAGAAUGUUCUAUUUUUGCAUGUAACUAACUUCAGAGAUCUGAUACUUACGGUGUCCAUCAUAAUCUUCUUCUGCAACAUAGCCAUUUCUUUGCGGAGUUCAUUUUGGGCACCUGCCAGAAGAUUUUCAUUGCUCUUCUCCAGCUCGUCCAUGCUCUGAAGUUAAGGAUAAUCUUAAUUCAGAACUCCUCAGUGUUUCAAAGAGUUAAUUUAAAACAAACCAAUCAUUCAUUUUCUUACUACAAUUUAAUUUUUACAGCGAUCACUGGUAAUUGAUUAGUUUUGUCACAGACUUGACAGAGGAAUCAUACAGGACUUCACACUCCAGCCUACAUUCCUAUUUUAACAAUGUGGACCCUGUGAAGGAAAUGGUGCCCUCCAGUCAGUUUCUGUGAAGUCUUAGGUAGUUAUUCUGCAUCUUAAUUAAGAGUUCCACAAGAAGAACUUGAGCAGACAUCUGUCAGGAAUGCUAGGAGUUCAAUAUUAUGGCAACCUUGAGGGACUUGAAGUAAGGAUUAUAAAACCCAUUACAUGUCUUUGCACACUUCUCCCCAAAUAAAACUCACUGGUUAUCUUCCCUUUUGUACCUACAAUUAUGCCUACCUCUGUGUAUGUGUCUAGUUGCAUGUUCUUUAACUUACAUUUACUUAAGCAUAUUUGAGGCUUGACUUCUACCUUUUGAUCUUUGAGGAGAAAAAUCAAAGUAAUACUUGACCUACUAUUCAGCUUUUCCUCUUUGAUGAAGACAUUUUUGACAUUUUGGAAUAGUUAUUAAUGCUUCUGUAAUAUCCUCUAUAAAUUUUGACUGUCUUAAACUAA